rnacentral:rRNA from 1 species
GACGAACGCUGGCGGCGUGGAUUAGGCAUGCAAGUCGAACGGUAUCAUCCUUUCGGGGGUGAGAGAGUGGCGAACUGGUGAGUAACACGUAGGUUAUCUACCCUCAAGACGGGGACAACCCAGGGAAACUUGGGCUAAUACCGGAUGUGAGCAACUUUUAGUUGUUUGAAAGGUGGCGUAAGCUGUCGCUUGGGGAUGAGCCUGCGUCCUAUUAGUUAGUUGGUGAGGUAACGGCUCACCUAGGCAAUGAUAGGUAGGCGGCCUUAACGGGUGGUCGCCCACACUGGGAUUGAGAUACGGCCCAGACUCCUACGGGAGCAGCAGUCGAGAAUAGUCUACAAUGGUCGGAAGACUGAUAGUGCGACGCCGCGUGAACGAUGAAUCCCUUCGGGGUUAAAGUUCUUUUAUAUGUGAGCAGUGCUUCUUAUAUUAACAGUAUGGGGAGAGAGAUAUUAGCAUAUGAAUAAGCAACGGCUAACUCCGUGCCAGCAGCCGCGGU